GGGCCGCCGCUUUCCAGGUUAUGAGCAUACUUGUGUGCUGUGAGACGGAGCUACUGAGUUCUUUAAUCCAGUGAAUCUCAACCAGUGGGUCUGAUGGGUCACAGACGGCAGUGAAACACGACAUUGUGUUCAUUUACACAUCCUGUGCAGAUUGUCUCUCGGAGUCUCUCUACAGCCCAAACCGCCCAAAACAUCCCGGUGUCGGUCCAAACAUCAUUUUUCAUCUGAGCGUUUGACGCGACGGAGCGCUGCCGUUUGUGUGUACAGUGAUGGAGGGCGGCGAGCGGGCGGCACUGACUCCAGACCAGUGACACUGUCCCACGCUCACAGAGUCUAUUGAUCUGCUCUGGAUGGACGGCUGGAGACAAACACGCGGCUUACAGCCGGUUUAGAGCUGGUUCUACGCCGCUAAACUGAACAAAUCUAGAAUGAACUCAAGCACAGCUCAAAACUUCACAACUGACUGAAUCUAAUUCCCUUUAUAUCUUCCUUUCGAUGUUUUAGUGUUGUAUCUGAAGUCUGUUUAAAAGCUUACAAAGCCCUGUACACCCUUAUGAGACAGAGAUUUACACCGACAUGUCUUAAAGUCGACAUUUCCUUCCUCCUCUUGUGUUCCUGUGUGUUUAUGGCCAGAAUGCAUGUGUGUUAGAAACAAAAUUUAGUUUGUUUUACUCAAAUUUAGUUAGUAUUUAGUUUAUUUAAUAAAUAGUAUUCAUUAUUUUAAAUUGGUUUUUAU
ensembl:lncRNA